GAUGAAGAACGUAGCGAAAUGCGAUACGUAAUGUGAAUUGCAGAAUUCAGUGAAUCAUCGAGUCUUUGAACGCACAUUGCGCCCCCUGGUAUUCCGGGGGGCAUGCCUGUCCGAGCGUCAUUGCUGCCCUCAAGCACGGCUUGUGUGAUGGGCCUCCGUCCUCCUCCCGGGGGACGGGCCCGAAAGGCAGCGGCGGCACAGCGUCCGGUCCUCGAGCGUAUGGGGCUUCGUCACCCGCUCUUGUAGGCCCGGCCGGCGCUUGCCGACACAUCAAUCUUUUUUCCAGGUUGACCUCGGAUCAGGUAGGGAUACCCGCUGAACUUAAGCAUAUCAAUAAGCGGAGGA
rnacentral:misc_RNA from 1 species